ACAUUAUCACAAUGAAGGUAUUAUUUUAUAUUGGGUACGUUUAUGGUUUUUAAUGUCGUUGGAAAAAAAUCAAGAAAUGUUCACUUGCAACAAGUUGCCUACGCUUCAAGACUAAAAUCAGCAAUGAGUUUUGGAUGUCGCUAUCUGCGUACCGUCCCUGUAGCUCUAACUUUGGUAUUUCUAGUAUUAAUCACAAUGCUCUAUCUAAACAAUCAGGGAUCUAAAUAUUACAAUACCGAUAUUAUUGUACCGCAAUUUCUUUACAAGAAGUUACUUUCCGGUUCAGACAAAAAAUCCAACAAGAAUUCUAACACGACACACGUACCACCAAAAACCUGCUGGAAACGCUCUUUUGAAGAACUGCUGAAGCCAUGCAAAGACUCUUUAUCUUGGACGAGCCGAAUAACAGACAAAACUUUAAAAACUAAUUUAACUUUAAGUAAAAUAGAUACAUAUUUUGGACCUGCCGGAAAAACAAGUUUUGUUAAAAUAUCAACUUAUGAUAACAUGAAUCGUAAAAAACACAGAGGAGGAGAUUCGUGGUGGGUAACAGUAAUAGGAGAAGUUUCAUUUCAUGUUGACAUGUUCGAUAAUUUGGAUGGCUCAUACACUGGUUGGUUUGAAUUUGUGCAACCUGGAACUUACAAUGUUAUAAUUGACCUAAAGUACAGUUUGUGUGACGGAUAUCGAGAUCCUCCUGUAUGGUGGUUCAAAGUAGGCACUGAUCACGGGAAAUAUCAAAAACAAGGCGUGCUAGGUGGUCAGAGAGAUUUUAUGCAUCAAAGUAAAAAAUUGACCACUACAAUUUCUGGAAAAACAAUCCUUGAUGACACCAGCGACAUAGACAAUGCGUACAUAAAUGACGAUUGUGGGUACUGGAUAGGAAGCAAUAAUUAUGUUACUAGAAAAAGAACUUUUGAACCAAUUAAAACUCACAAACGAGAUGGUACAAUUUGGUUUUAUGGUGAUUCACUACAAGUGCGGUACGAAGGUUACUUCAGGAAGCGUCCAUUAUGCACUCAGUACUUUCGUUGUUCAAUGACUUACACAUGGUUAUAUCCUAAUCCACACCCUCCAAGAAAAAUAUACAAUAACAAAGAUUUCAAUAAAAAUAUACCAUUAAAUGAUAUUAAGGCUGUUUUAAACAAUCCGGUCAUGAAGAAAAAUACAAGUGUGUUAUUUGUUAAUUGGGGACUUCACGUUUUAAUGAUUUUACAAUUCGAUGUUUUGAAAGAUUUUUUUCAAAGCUUUUUGGCCCUAGUGAAGGAGUUAAAAUAUGCUUCACCUGAUACAUUUCCACAAAUCAUAUGGAGGUCGACAACGUCGAUGUAUGAAAGAGAAUAUUAUGAUGACAGUGGAGGUAAAAAUCAUCAUUUGGAUCAUCUAAGAUUUCUUACUAAUCAGCGUGUCAUGCUAUGGAAUGCGUAUACAAGAGAACAAUCGGAAAAAUCAGGUAUUAAGAUUGUCAACUUUUUCAACUUAGCAGCUUCGUACGCACCUGGUCCAGUUGAUCGUGUACACUUUCCGGGACAAAUAUUUGAAUCCACAGCUGUUGCAUUCGAACAAUAUAUAUUAUCAACUAUAUAGAUUUGUAAUUGUUUGUUAAUCGUAUCUAUAUUUAUAUUUAUAUUUAUAUGUAUUUAUUUUUCACUACAAUUAGCAUUGUAAACUAUCUGAAAGUCUUAUAUUUAUAGUCAAGCUGUUUCAUUAAACCAUGGGUUAAUGAGAUUUUUAAUCUGGGUUCUUAUAGGAACAACGCUACUCAUGUGAGAAGUAAACAUAAAUUUUAUUUCUGAAGUUCACAACUUGUCACUGUUACUGUACAAAGAGUUUUUUGCGUUUUUGAAACGGCAAUUGCACAUUUAGUAGGGAAAUUACGAAUUUCAAUAUUUAUUUAGUUAUAUUUCUUCAAAACGAAUACAACUUAUUUAUAUUAUAGUAUACGUUUCGAACUCCUUUGAGUUUCAACUUAAAAAGUUUUACAAGACAUCGCGAUAAAUAUACAAAUUUUAUUACAUAAGUGAAUUCAUUAAAAUAAAUAUGUGACUCGUGGGGAAGAUUUACAAAUAAAAUACAGCACAAAAGUAUCAUAAAUAAAAUGGAUGAUGUGGAGUCGGUAUGAAACACGUGUAUAAGUUAUGACUUAGUUAUAUUUGUUAUAAAACACGCAUUUUGAAGAAGGGAGAGGUGGAUUUUUACGAUAUAGAAAGUGGAUUUUUACGAUAUAGAGUUGAGAAUGCAAUCCCACCUUUGAAGCAUUACAUCGAAACCACAUUCCCAGGAUCUCUCUUAAAAGACGAGCAUCAAAGCUAUAUCCAUUAUCAAUUAAAAACUGGUCAAAGUUGGGCUCAAUCCUUUGGAAUUAUGGAGAGAGCAAAACAACAAUACAAUAUUGAAGAUUAUUCGGUCAGCCAAACUACAUUGGAACAAGUUUUCUUGAAUUUCAAUAGAGCUCAACGGGAAGCAGACGACUAAAGAGAUAUAAACAUGAAGUUUAUGCAUCGUCAGCUAUUUUUCAACUUUGUCCGGUAAUAAAGCUGUUUAUUUAUGAUAUCCAUUACGUAAUCUUUUUU